UGAUCCGGUGCUUGCACCGGGGAUUAGUGGCGAACGGGUGAGUAACACGUGAGUAACCUGCCCUUGACUCUGGGAUAAGCCUGGGAAACCGGGUCUAAUACCGGAUACGACCUUUCACCGCAUGGUGGUUGGUGGAAAGAUUUUUUGGUUUUGGAUGGACUCGCGGCCUAUCAGCUUGUUGGUGAGGUAAUGGCUCACCAAGGCGACGACGGGUAGCCGGCCUGAGAGGGUGACCGGCCACACUGGGACUGAGACACGGCCCAGACUCCUACGGGAGGCAGCAGUGGGGAAUAUUGCACAAUGGGCGAAAGCCUGAUGCAGCGACGCCGCGUGAGGGAUGACGGCCUUCGGGUUGUAAACCUCUUUCAGCAGGGAAGAAGCGAAAGUGACGGUACCUGCAGAAGAAGCGCCGGCUAACUACGUGCCAGCAGCCGCGGUAAUACGUAGGGCGCAAGCGUUGUCCGGAAUUAUUGGGCGUAAAGAGCUCGUAGGCGGUUUGUCGCGUCUGCUGUGAAAGCCCGGGGCUCAACCCCGGGUCUGCAGUGGGUACGGGCAGACUAGAGUGCAGUAGGGGAGACUGGAAUUCCUGGUGUAGCGGUGAAAUGCGCAGAUAUCAGGAGGAACACCGAUGGCGAAGGCAGGUCUCUGGGCUGUAACUGACGCUGAGGAGCGAAAGCAUGGGGAGCGAACAGGAUUAGAUACCCUGGUAGUCCAUGCCGUAAACGUUGGGCACUAGGUGUGGGGGACAUUCCACGUUUUCCGCGCCGUAGCUAACGCAUUAAGUGCCCCGC
rnacentral:rRNA from 1 species